ensembl:lncRNA
UGCACACACAUUGACCCCUGGUUUUAUGCCAGGUACACCCAUUUUUGUCUUCACGUUGAAGAAAAAUUAAUUUGUUCAAAUCUAAGUUAUUAAAUCCUAACAGGAGCACUUGCAGCAUGAAACUGUAUACAGCACAGAGUGAGACAUGGUGGAAAGCAAGACUUAAAGAUGAAGAAGGUAAAGAUUUUUUUUUUUUUUUUUUUUACACUUUGUUGAAUAAGCAAAGACUCAUUUCAGACAUUUCCUUUUCUGAUGUCAAUUGUUUAUCCUGGUGAGAAAAUGUCAUUCCUGUGCAGAUGAAUGUGCCAGAGAGGUACUUACCAUUUGAAAAUGUCAGUGGGUAUAAAAAAAAAAAAAAAAAGACAACGACAAAAAAAAACUACUAAACUGACUUUGCUUCAUUUUUAUGUAUUAUUUUUAUUAUUUAUUCAGAGUUACACAGUAAAAACAGAAUCAUUGAAUCACAGUAAAAAUGCUGCAUUGCCUAUUUUACUCCAGCAGAGGGAGACAUGUGCCAAGCCCAGCGCUGAUCAUGUAAAUGACUUUUCUUGGUAAAGGCUAGAAGUAAAGAGGAAGUCGCAGGCUUCUAAAUUGCUGUCAUACAUUAAACAGAAUUGUGAUUGUAGGGCGAUCGUGGCUCAAGAGUUGGGUGUUCGUCUUGUAAUCGGCCGGUUGCCGGUUCGAGCCCCGGCUCGGACAGUCUCGGUCGUUGUGUCCUUGGGCAAGACACUUCACCUACCCCCUACUGGUGAUGGCCAGAGGGGCCGAUGGCGCGAUAUGGCAGCCUCGCCUCUGUCGCUUGCCUUCACCAGUGGUAUUGUAAAGCGCUUUGAGGGGUCCCGAAAAGCGCUAUAUAAAUGCAAUCCAUUAUUAUUAAAGUUAUUAAGUAACAGAUUAAAGCUGUGUACUUGUGUAUAUGCGGUCACCGUCCAAACAUGUAAAACUGUUCUCUUGCGUUCGCUUUGGCCUGAUUAACAAUCUGCCCUCAAAAACACAUCCCGUAGAGCAGAUAAGAUGUCAGACAUCAGUUAAUUCCACUGUCAGUGUGAACUUAAACAGAAGUGGUUUAAUGAUCUGAAAGCCUGGGGUGCAGCUAUCUGUCAUGACCAAAUCAUCAGCUAAUGAACCACUCGUUCAUACUUUAUGCUCGUUUAUCUCUGAUUCAGUCGUUUGGUGUGUGUGUGUGUGUGUGUGUGUGUGUGUGUGUGUGUGUGUGUGUGUGUGGAGAAAAACAGAGGGAGUACCCGGCUCAUUAUUAAAUAUCAGAGUUCAGCUGUAGGUCCAAUCAAAACAGCCUUAGGGAAACAUCAGCUUAACCAAAGUCAUGAGACCAAAUUCACUGCGCUGCACACAUGCAGCUGUAUACACACUCGAACCCACAGUCACACACACUCGCACACAGAUAACAGAUAAAUGUGCGUGAUGGCUCUCAGGCCUGUGGAUAUUCGGGUAGGCAACAAUUACGUUAUGUUACAGAAAAUUGCUGUAACAACAAACAGAAGUCCUCUUUUGAUUUCUGUGAGGUGGUUUGUGGCUAAAAAUGGUGUUUCUACAUUAUUCUUUAUUUACUUUGGUUGCUAGAGGCAAAAUAAUAAAAAUGGCUACAAUCAUCUUUUAUCCAUUGCAUUAAAAAGCUUUGCAUUAUUUCCUGCCAUUUUGUGUUUAUUUUGGUUUGUUUUUGGCAGAGAAGUGAGUCGUUAUUAGCAAGCUGCACAUAAAGACUGGAUGGCUGCAGUGCACCCAUAUAAAUACCCAUCUUAAUUAGUGCUAACUAUCAUAUAGAUAAUAUGCAAGUAUAUAGAAUAUUCACUGUCCAAAACUGAAUUAGGCACCUUACUAAUACCUCUCUAAUGCUUAACAGUGUGACAUUAUUAUAAUGUGCUACCCCAAUUUUAUAUUUUCACUUUGAAAUAAACUCCUCCUUUGGUUGAAUUGAAUUCAACUAUAAGAAUAUCCUGCACAGGCCUGCUGGUGUUGACUAUGGUGUAGAAUUUAGCAUUGAUACUCUCUCUCACACUCACGCACGCACACACACACAUGCUACACAUCAAACACAAACGUUGAAAUGCAGUGCGAGGACGAAAUGUCCUGUGCCUCUCAGCUUCUAUAAACGAAUGCUUCCUUAUGUUUCAGAGACCACUGGGACAUAUUUUUC